AACGCGAAGAACCUUACCAGGCCUUGACAUCCCGGUCGCGGCUCCUUGAAAGAGGGGCCUUCAGUUCGGCUGGACCGGUGACAGGUGCUGCAUGGCUGUCGUCAGCUCGUGUCGUGAGAUGUUGGGUUAAGUCCCGCAACGAGCGCAACCCUCGCCCUUAGUUGCCAUCAUUCAGUUGGGCACUCUAAGGGGACUGCCGGUGAUAAGCCGCGAGGAAGGUGGGGAUGACGUCAAGUCCUCAUGGCCCUUACGGCCUGGGCCACACACGUGCUACAAUGGCGGUGACAGUGGGCAGCAAAGGGGCAACCCGGAGCUAAUCUCAAAAAGCCGUCUCAGUUCGGAUUGCACUCUGCAACUCGGGUGCAUGAAGUCGGAAUCGCUAGUAAUCGCGGAUCAGCACGCCGCGGUGAAUACGUUCCCGGGCCUUGUACACACCGACGCGUA
rnacentral:rRNA from 1 species